AUACUACAGAGAUAGGUUCCAACACAGCAAGCACUUACUUGUAGGCUGAAUUUUAGUCAUGAUUAAUUGCACCAACCAAAAAGAGGUUACUUGCUAUGUAAAGUUAAGAGGCAGAAAGUCCAAGGAGACAGCUGGGCUUUGCCACAAGCAAGCAGUAUGUGGUAUGUAACAGUUAUAUCACUAAAUAAUUUGCUGUGUGCUUUAUUUGUCUACUCUGGAAUUACAGUCCUGCUAUGCAAUAAUGGAAGUGAAAGUCACAGAGGGGGCUCUGAUGACUAACAUCAGAGUGUCCCUAGGGUACUCAUUUGUCAUGGGACUCAUUCACAGCUAAAUGGAUUGGAAUGUAGAUCAUGGUCUCAUUUCUUUAAAGUCUUGUUUCUUUAGAAUGUGCUUUUCACAGAAAAGGAGCAGAUGAGUAUAGGAAGUGACUGGGAAAGUGGACAGAAAAAGUGGAGUAUUGGCAGUCAUUCAGCAGCAAUAAGCAUCAAGAAGCAGGACUUCCUGAGGUCAAGUAGAGUCAAGUCCUCCAGACCACAUUCAAAUUAACUGGCAGAAGAUUUUCAUUGACAUACAAAUCAAGAGACUUGCUUUGGAGAAACCAUUCUGAAGAUGGCAUUUGAAAGCACAAAUGCUUUUUAAGAAAUGAAUAAAUAUAUGAGACUUCUAAAAUAUUUUCCCCUU
rnacentral:lncRNA from 1 species